UACGGAGGGUGCAAGCGUUAAUCGGAAUUACUGGGCGUAAAGCGUGCGUAGGUGGUGCGUUAAGUCUGUCGUGAAAGCCCCGGGCUCAACCUGGGAAUGGCGAUGGAUACUGGCGCGCUAGAGUGCGGUAGAGGAGAGUGGAAUUCCCGGUGUAGCAGUGAAAUGCGUAGAGAUCGGGAGGAACAUCAGUUGCGAAGGCGGCUCUCUGGACCAGCACUGACACUGAGGCACGAAAGCGUGGGGAGCAAACAGG
rnacentral:rRNA from 1 species